ensembl:lncRNA
CCCUUGUGGAGAGGAGCGAUCUCCUUUUACAACUGUCUGGGAUUUGUAUGGAGGUGGAAUUCGGCAGUUACAGAAAACCAGUAGGAGCCUUCUGAGCUCACAGAACCUCCAGAACAUCAGCUGGAAGUGCAGUGGCUGCAUCUGGAGACCCUGUGCCCCAGUCCUCGGGCUGAGCUUUGAAGAAGAGACCUCCAGCAGCACUGGUGAGUACAGAGAUGGCCACGGAGACAGAAAUGAAAGCGGCAGAGCACCGCGAGGGCACAGCCGAGGCUUGUGGAGACAGCGCUCCAACUCUCCAGACAGCACCUAUGAAUUAAGGAAGUCCAUGUGGAAAGAAGAGAGGAAUGCAAUUGAAAAAAAAACAGAAUGGAGACCACAGGUAGUCUGGAUAAAAUGAAAGGGGCAGAAAGAGGAUGUUAAGGCUCCCGUUGCUUUGCUACCUUCGGUCCACCAUGAACUGUUGCCCCUCUGCCAUGCCAGCCUGCCGUGGAGCCAUUGUGGACUGAAGUCUCUACAAACUGCAAGGAGAAAAAGAUGAAAGUCAAAGAUGUUCCCAGGUUACACAGCUGAAAGUGAGGAAGUUGGUGGUUUCCUGACUCAAGAGAGUGGAGAAGACUGAACCCAAUGAGGCACUGAAAUGAAUUGGCUGCAACUUCUAGAAGGGAUCAUGCAUUUCUGAUUUUGAAGACCCUUAACCGAGACCUGCUUCUCUGUUUGGCCUGGAAGUGUAUGAGUAGACUCCUGGAAGGAGUCUCCUUGGAGGCUUACUGGGCAACUCUUUGUAUCACAAUAUAUCCAAAGGAGAAGGUUAAUGAAAAAUGACCUCAAUUUUAUAUUGGCAAGACUACCAAGGACUCAAACCCCUCAGGACUGAAGAUCAAAUCUCCUGGAGUAAAAUCUCUACCCAGCUGAGGCACUGUCUAAAGGUGGAAGAAAGACAGGAUGUAUGGCCAUGAAAGACAGUGAUCUCUGUCUUCUUUUUCUUUUUUCUGUUUUUUAAUUGGUUUUGUUUCUUUCCUUCUUAAAUAGAAGAAAAAUUACUACAAUCAUCGCUGGUUUAAUAAUCCCUUUUUCCAAGCCUAUAUAUUCAGUGUAUUACUGGAGGUUAUUGCUACCAUUUAGCCUGUCGGCUGUGAAAUGGUGAGAAUUAAAGGAUAGAUAGGAAUAUAUAAGUCUAGAGGGGGAAUUAGCAUUACCUGGAGUUUGUUGAUGAUGAAGAAGAAGUCUUUAGAGGAUCUUUACAAAAGCACAAUUAUUGAAUGCAAUGGCUUUAUGGAUUUUGAGUUUCUUAGUAUGGAUAAGAUAAACGCAUUAAGAUUAUCUGUAUGAUCAUGUGAGAUGAUGGUAUCUGUAGAACUAUUGGUAAGAAAGCCAGUUCAGAAUAAUUUUCAGCCACCUAAUUUGCACACAGUCUAUUUCAAUUCUCCUUAGGCAACCUAUGUGAUCCAGUCAAAUGAACCAUCCUUUUAAAUAAGGCAUUACUGUAUCCGGCUGGUUUGGGGGGAAUAGUGCUAAAAAGCAAGAGGGGUAAAAGGACAACAGUCUUCUGUUAGUCCCACAUCCUUGGUUCCAAGGUAGAAUUCCUGGCUCACAUUCUUGCUCAGAAUGCACGUUGCAACAGAUUGAUAGCAAUGAUACCUCUAGAACCAAGACUGGAUAUUGCUUGGACUUCACUAUCAGUUGGUUGUCACAGCUAGUUUCCCUCUUUAGCUGUGACUGCAUUACCCAGGCUUCCUACUCUUGGAGGCAAGUAUUGUCUCUGGAACCAGAAGUGGUCUCGUAACUGAGUAGAGAUGCAUUUCAUACCCUGCUCUCAAAAAUGAGCUGAAGUGGGCUGGGGAUUUAGCUCAGUGGUUUCGCCACCUGCUGUGCAAGCACAAGGACCUGAGUUCGAUCCCCAGUACCCCCCCAAAAAAAGAGCUGAAGUACUGUGGAAUCCAUGCAUGGGACACAGAACUAGAUGAUUAAGAAGAAUUUGCUAGGUGGGAGCAAAGGGUAAUAGCAGGCAUUUGGUACUCUACCACUUCCUAUUGCAUCUGAGCCCUAGGCCAGAGGUCUUCCAACUUCUGCAGCUGAUUUCCCUGAUUCAGACACCAACAACCUCCAGUUUAGGUACAAAACAACAUGAUGAGCUCACAGAUCACUGGAAGCUGGACCUUGGUUUUCCAGAUUUCUCCUGCUCCUAAUCUGUCUGUACCUUUAUUUGAGAAAUCCUGAUCUGAGUCAUUAUGCAGACGUCUAUGCAGUGAAUAAGCCCAUCUCUGUAGGUGUUUCAAAAAUUCAGUUCAACCAAUACUUAUUAAGAGCCUCCUAGGUUCCAAGCUGUGUCUUAGAAACCGCAGAUAUGAUGAUGAAUGGCUCCAUGAAAGCUUCUACUUCCAGAUUUCUCAUUGUUCAGAAUGGGACAGAGUACAUUUCUGCAUUACAUUAUCUUUCAUGGUCUGGGUAUUGUGCUGGGC